UUAAAGGUACAAAUCUGAAACUUAUUUUUCGGAUUUUCAAGUUUUUGUUAUGGAUUUAGAUAAUUGGUUUAUUCAACCUGGCUUACCAAAGUUCAAUGGAAUGAACUUUAAACAACGAAAAAUCAUCGUUGAAUUUUUCUAGAAUUCCAAGAUUUGUGGGAUGUAGUAGAGAAUAGAAAUUAUGAAAAGGAAUUUGGUAAAGAAGAAUUUAGAAAGAAAAAUAGAAAAGUUCUAUUAUAUAUUUUUCAAGUAGUGGAUCUGUCAUUAAUUGGAAAAUUUUCAAUGACAAAAAGCAGCACGAGAAGCGUGGAGAAUGCUAUCGAAAUUUGGAGGAGAAGAUUUGCAGCAAGAGAAUGAAUUCAAGAAGAAAAAUAAAUUCAACCUAAUGGCGAAGAUAUAGAUGCCUCAAUUUGCAAAAAAAAUUUGGAAAGAAAAUUCUGAUCAAAAUCAUGAAGAAGAUAAAAAAUAUGCUAAAGAUCAAAACGAUAUGAUUCAGGCCGACGGGAAAGUUCACAAUGAUAAUAUGAUUGAAGAAAUUUCUGUUGAUGAAGAAAUUAUGCAGCAAAGUAGGGAGGAAGUUUACUAUUAUUUUGAUGUAAUCGAAGAUGAAGAUCACAAAUUAAAUUUACAAAAGCAGAAAGCACAUGAAAAUGCCAAAUCGAGAUCAAUGCACCAAACAAAUAUCCAUGUCGAUCAAACUUUCCUCGGUUAAUUACCAUAAAAUAAUAAAAUUCAAAUCGAUCCAAUCAUUUUAAAAUUACAUGUUUUUCAA
rnacentral:lncRNA from 1 species